rnacentral:lncRNA from 1 species
AACAAGAAUGUGUCCUCAGUACACGAAUGCCCCACUCGCACUAUCAUUUUCCAUGUUCAGUGGACCGUGAAAUUGGGGUAAAAACUCUAGUUUGGCAUUAAAAUUAGAAAGAUCAUAUCAUAGGGGACAUGUGUACUAAGUUUGAAGUCGAUUGGACUUAAACUUCAUCAAAAACUACCUUGACCAAAAACUUUAACCUGAAGCGGGACAGACGGACGGACGAACGGACAGACGGAUGGACGAACGAACAGACGGACGGACGGACGGACGCACAGACCAGAAAACAUAAUGCCCCUCUACUAUCGUAGGUGGGGCA